UACGUAGGGGGCAAGCGUUGUCCAGAUUUAUUGGGCGUAAAGAGCGUGUAGGCGGCCAGGUAGGUCCGCUGUGAAAACUCGAGGCUCAACCUCGAGAUGUCGGCGGAAACCAUCUGGCUAGAGUCCGGAAGAGGAGAGUGGAAUUCCUGGUGUAGCGGUGAAAUGCGCAGAUAUCAGGAAGAACACCCGUGGCGAAGGCGGCUCUCUGGGACGGUACUGACGCUGAGACGCGAAAGCGUGGGGAGCGAACAGG
rnacentral:rRNA from 1 species